GCAAACUUGGUCAUUUAGAGGAAGUAAAAGUCGUAACAAGGUCUCCGUAGGUGAACCUGCGGAGGGAUCAUUAGCGAGUCCGUGCCCCUAGGGCAGAGCUCCCACCCACUGUUAUCACUACGACCGUUGCUUUGGCGGGCGUGCUGCCCGCCAGAGGCCCCGUAGACUCUGGAUAUUAGCGUCGUCCGAGCGCCACUUAAUCGUGAAAACUUUCAACAACGGAUCUCUUGGUUCUGGCAUCGAUGAAGAACGCAGC
rnacentral:misc_RNA from 1 species